AGCCCCGCCCCGUCUGGUCCCGCCCCCACGGCCCCUCCCCCUCCCCACAGGCGAGGCGCCACCCGCCCUCCCUCACCUCGGAGAACAGCGCGGCUAGGUGCUCCAGGGGCGCGGCGGGCAGGUCCCCGCAGAGCACUGCCCCGCGGAGGCUGGUGGGCUCUGGAGGCUCGGGCCUCCUGCGCAGGAAAAAAAGCCCCUUUGCGCGAGCUGGGCCGGACUCAGGUCCCGGGUCCAUCCCCUGUCGCAUCGCCAGGCCUCCGGGGCCGGGCCGCACUACCAGCAAGGGCCUGGGCCCCUCUGCAGCACCUCGGCCCAGGAAGGCCUGGAGCAGAUGCUCAGCCUCGGGUGUCCCCGUGCAGCGCUCCCAAGCACCCGCCGCCGGCCGCAGGCUCUGAGCCACGUAGGCCCCCAGGAGACGCAGCAGUCUCGGGUCGGCGCUGGAGUCCUCGUCCGCGUUCUCCGCAGCGAGCAGGGCCAGAUCCUCCGCGCACGGCAUCGUGCGCGGCCUCCGGCUGCAUUGGUUUCCCUAGCGACGGGGACGCGGCCAGGACUUCCCUCCUCUGCUUUCUUCCUAUUGGGCCAAGGACUCUUGACCCCGCCCCUUCCAGGCAAAUAAGCUGUAUCUCGAAAGGGAAGUCUGUCACACUGCAGGCACCAUGGAGCCCAGGCCAAGGCAGCCGGAGGUGCACUCCUGCCAUACUCUCAAGCAGAUGUGAGACAUCAAGAACGCCCUGCCCAGAGUGCUCUGAAGAUGAACGAUUUGUAGGAAGAAGUGCUACAGGCAGAGUUGACACUAGCACAGCACCAUUCUCAGUCAGUGUGCCCGGUCACCUCAGGGCGGGAUGUGAUGCUUUACUCUACACAGCUCCACAUAACCCUGUUUAAUGAACUUUGCACUUGUACUGUUAAGAAACAAAAAUGUAGCCCGGAAUUUCCAUGAAUGUUAUCUGUCAUUCCAAUUAGAGCUGUAUUUCACUGAUCCUAAAGCUCCAUCUUUCAUGCUAAGCAAGCCUCUGCUUGGUUAAUGAGUGCCAGCACCAGGGCUAAUAUGUUUGCAUGACUGGCCCCUCACCUUCCUUCAUUUUGUACAAAUGAGACUAAAAUUCUUAGCCUGUCCUGAUGGAGAGGCCAUCCGGGAAACUUUGUUGGCACAGAGGACAUUAGCCAUUCAGUAUCUAUCCUGUCCUUUCCUGGUAAUGACAGCCUGGUGCUCUCAGGGAAACACACCCUCCCACACCCUCACUGUACAUGGCUGAGGUAAAGUUGUAACGGCUCACAGCUCUGGUUUAGAUCUGCAAUGUACCUCAGAGGCACAUGUGUUUAAAGUUUGGUUUCCAGGUGGCAUUAUUGGGAGCAGGGCCUUGUGGGAGGUCUUGAGGUCACGGGAGAUGUGUCCCUAGAGAGGACUGCAGGUCCCCAUCCCAUCCAGACUUUCUC
rnacentral:lncRNA from 1 species